AUUGAACGCUGGCGGCAGGCCUAACACAUGCAAGUCGAACGAGUGGCGGACGGGUUAGUAAUGUCUGGGAAACUGCCUGAUGGAGGGGGCUAACGAAUGGAAACGGUAGCUAAUACCGCAUAGCAUCACAUAUGCCCAGAUGGGAUUAGCUUGCUGGUGGGGUAACGGCUCACCAAGGCCACGAUCCCUAGCUGGUCUGAGAGGAUGACCAGCCACACUGGAACUGGGACACGGUCCAGACUCCUACGGGAGGCAGCAGUGGGGAAUAUUGGACAAUGGGCGAAAGCCUGAUGCAGCCAUGCCGCGUGUAUGAAGAAGGCCUUCGGGUUGUAAAGUACUUUCAGCGGGGAGGCGUUACCCGCAGAAUAAGCACCGGCUAACUCCGUGCCAGCAGCCGCGGUAAUAC
rnacentral:rRNA from 1 species